CCUACGGGUGACAGCAGUGGGGGAUAUUGCACAAUGGGGGGAACUCUGAUGCAGCGACGCCGCGUGGGUGAAGAAGCGCCUCGGCGCGUAAAGCCCUGUCAGCAGGGAAGAAAAUGACGGUACGUGAAGAAGAAGCCCCGUCUAACUACGUGCCAGCAGCCGCGGUAAUACGUCGGGUGCAAGCGUUAUCCGGAUUUACUGGGUGUAAAGGGGGCGCAGACGGCGUUACAAGGCAGGAGUGAAAGUCUGGGGCCCAACCCCAGGACUGCACUUGGAACUGCGUGGCUGGAGUGCAGGAGGGGCAGGCGGAAUUCGUGGUGUAGCGGUGAAAUGCGUAGAUAUCAGGAAGAACACCGGUGGCGAAGGCGGCCUGCUGGACUGCAACUGACGUUGAGGCCCGAAAGCGUGGGUAGCAAACAGGAUUAGAUACCCUGGUAGUC
rnacentral:rRNA from 1 species